rnacentral:rRNA from 1 species
AGAGCGAACGCUGGCGGCAGGCCUAACACAUGCAAGUCGAACGGACCCUUCGGGGUUAGUGGCGGACGGGUGAGUAACACGUGGGAACGUGCCUUUAGGUCCGGAAUAGCUCCUGGAAACGGGUGGUAAUGCCGAAUGUGCCCUUCGGGGGAAAGAUUUAUCGCCUUUAGAGCGGCCCGCGUCUGAUUAGCUUGUUGGUGAGGUAAUGGCUCACCAAGGCUACGAUCAGUAGCUGGUCUGAGAGAUGACAGCACAGUU